rnacentral:rRNA from 1 species
UACGUAGGGGGCUAGCGUUGUCCGGAUUUACUGGGCGUAAAGAGCGUGUAGGCGGCCAAGCAGGUCCGUUGUGAAAACUGGAGGCUUAACCUCCAGACGUCGACGGAAACCGCGUGGCUAGAGUCCGGAAGAGGAGAGUGGAAUUCCUGGUGUAGCGGUGAAAUGCGCAGAUAUCAGGAAGAACACCAAUGGCGAAGGCAGCUCUCUGGGACGGUACUGACGCUGAGACGCGAAAGCGUGGGGAGCGAACAGG